rnacentral:rRNA from 1 species
GGCUCAGAAUGAACGCUGGCGGCGUGCUUAACACAUGCAAGUCGAACGAGAAAUCUUUAGCUUGCUAGAGAAAGUAAAGUGGCGCACGGGUGAGUAACGCGUGGGUAAUCUGCCUCCGAAUCGGGGAUAACAUUGCGAAAGCGAUGCUAAUACCGGAUAAAAUCUGGUUGGCUUAGGUGAACCGGAUCAAAGGUGGUCUCUUUAUAAAAGCUACCGUUUGGAGAUGAGCUCGCGUACCAUUAGCUAGUUGGUGAGGUAAAGGCUCACCAAGGCGACGAUGGUUAGCUGGUCUGAGAGGAUGAUCAGCCACACCGGAACUGGAACACGGUCCGGACUCCUACGGGAGGCAGCAGUGAGGAAUUUUGCGCAAUGGGGGAAACCCUGACGCAGCAACGCCGCGUGAGUGAUGAAGGCUUUCGGGUCGUAAAGCUCUGUCAGGUGGGAAGAACCCACCAAGUGUUAAGACCACUUGGUGCUGACGGUACCACCGAAGGAAGCACCGGCUAACUCCGUGCCAGCAGCCGCGGUAAUACGGGGGGUGCGAGCGUUAUUCGGAAUCAUUGGGCGUAAAGGGCGCGCAGGCGGUUUUGUAAGUCAGAUGUGAAAUCCCGGGGCUUAACCCCGGAAGUGCAUAUGAGACUAUGAGACUUGAGUAUGGGAGAGGGAAGCGGAAUUCCUGGUGUAGCGGUGAAAUGCGUAGAUAUCAGGAGGAACACCGGUGGCGAAGGCGGCUUCCUGGACCAAUACUGACGCUGAGGCGCGAAGGCGUGGGGAGCGAACAGGAUUAGAUACCCUGGUAGUCCACGCAGUAAACGUUGAUCACUAGG